AUGCGCAGUGCUGUGAGUUGGUCCGACGGUGCUGCGUUCCGAGGCUGCGGGUUGGGGUCGCGGUCGGACGUGCGGAGGUCUAACUUUUCAGGGUAACACCUGCAGAUUUUCAUACCGAGAAGCAACGGCUCGCGUGUGGGGCGCUUAGGGAGGCGCGAGGCAGGCGGCGGAGUCGGUCCGGCCGCUGGAGGGCCGCCUCGUCCCGCCGAUAGCAGCCGCCGGGCCUUUCUGUCCUGCCGCAGAGCAGCUCCUGAGGGCGGGUUACGGAUGCUGAGUGCUGUGGCUGCUGGCGGUGGGCGCAGCCCUCGGGGAGCUGCUCUGCAGGGCGGGCCCGCAGGCGGCACACAUAGCCGCAGGGUGGUGGCACCGGAGCUCCCGCGGUGGAGGCACUGAGUUUGUUUCUGUCCGGGGUGUCACUUCAUGGGACAGCCUGUGGUUUCAACGGCGCCAUCAGCAGCAGUAGCACAGCCCCCCCCCCCACCCAACCCUAUCAUAACAUGGGAUGUAGUCUCAGCAGCGCCGACCCCUGGCACCAUAUCUGCACUCGCAUGGACUUUCACCCGUGCCUCUCCAAAAUUAAGGCAUUCCGAGCCUGCUUUCUUCCUGUGCCAUCCCUGAGUGAUUGCAUAUCACCACAGCUCAGUUUUCCAAGCUUUUGUUGUGGGUUUUUUUUUUUUCCCUCCUUCAGGAGAGCAAUGGGGAAGGCGCCUGGAACAGGCAGAGGAGGCUGGCUGGGCUCUGCUGCUUCCCAACAGCUCAGUGCAGCUCCCAGAGGAGAUGAACAAGUUAGUCACUCACUGAGCUCACAGCUGAAGCAUCUCAGCCUCCAUGAGAAUUUGUCACCAGCCCUUCCUGGGCUGCUGAGUACCCAGAAGAAGGGGAGAGACUGGGGAUUUGGGGGAUAUGCUUCCUGUGCUGGCUGACGGCGCGGGCAGCAACCACUGCGAGGUCAUGGGGCUGUUCUUCACCUCAAGGAGCAAGGGUGGCAUGGAGCUCACCAGUGCUUAUGGUCCCAACUGAUUCCCACUGCAUAGGAGUUUGUAUGUUGAGAAAGGGGGCGCCAGGGAGCUUUCUAGGGAUUUCCCUAUGAGAUUCGGGAGCUGGGAGUUUUCCCCAGUUUCCACCCGUCCUUGCAGCAAUGCCUUUUGCUCACGUGCUCCUCCCAGGGUCAUAAGUGGUUCUUAAAAAAAAAGCAACAGCCCACACAAUGCUCUUCCCUUCCCUAGCCGGGUGCUGCUGACGAGAUACCUCAUCCGGUCCUGAGGGUACAGAAUUAGCCCUCCACAUGGGAAAGGCCCUGCCAAUCCUGGCCACCAGCUUCAACACCCCAGGGCUACGAGGUCAGCAGCACGUCACUGCUAUGCAUCCUACACGUGUAUCCUCCAGUCCCUUCCAAAGGCCUGAUGCAAGAUGUUGCUAUUCCUACUCUGCUUGUGGGAUUUCUUGGAGGUCACAUUGCUGGUGCUGAUGUCAAGUGAUGUUUUCCUUGACGUGCAAGGAAGGAAGCCCAAACUCGGAUGUUUAUUUGUUCUGUCCUGGCCGAUGUUCCCUUGGUCGUGCUCCAGUGGCCGAUAAACUGGCAGGGAAGCAGAGCGUGGAGCACGGCAGAGCCUGGGAAAGGCCGGGACCCCGCUUCCCCUGCCCUUACGUCAUGGUUUCUCUCUGAUUAGCUUGGCCUGGGGGCUGCCAGCUGCCUUCACUCCCUUGUCUCCUCCAUGCCGCCUGUGCUUGUCAACAUGUCCCUAUACCUGAGAUGUGGGUGGGAAGCAUGGGAAGGCAGCACAAGGCUGG